UACGAAGGGGGCUAGCGUUGCUCGGAAUCACUGGGCGUAAGCGCACGUAGGCGGAUCUUUAAGUCAGGGGUGAAAUCCUGGAGCUCAACUCCAGAACUGCCUUUGAUACUGGGGAUCUCGAGUCCGGGAGAGGUGAGUGGAACUCCGAGUGUAGAGGUGAAAUUCGUAGAUAUUCGGAAGAACACCAGUGGCGAAGGCGGCUCACUGGCCCGGUACUGACGCUGAGGUGCGAAAGCGUGGGGAGCGAACAGG
rnacentral:rRNA from 1 species